rnacentral:lncRNA from 1 species
UGGCUUCACUGUCAAAGCAAGCAAAACUGAAUUCUAAAAGUAAACCUGGAGCAUGUAAUUACUUAUGCAAGAACAGACUUGCAUCACUAUUUUCCUUAUUGGUUUCCUCCAUUUAUUUUGGUUAUUUUUCUGUUUCUUGUUUGUAAAUUACUCCCACACAAAGAAGAAUAAAUAAGACUUGGCAUGGAUAUAGCAGAAUAUCUUUAGCUGUCCUAGGCUCUAAAACUAUGAACUCCUAGGAUGGGAUUAAUCUCCCUGAAUUUUAUAAUUUAAAGCUUAUUUGUAGUCAGUUUCGACAUUUGGCAGUAACAUAUUUUGAGCCUAAUGAGGGCCUAGUGUGACUGGAGUUCAUACACUGAAGAUCUUCCUCAAAGAAGCUCACUUGGGACACUGAUGUGAAGAUUUAAUUGAUCUGUCUGUAGCUUGGACCUGCUUCAGCAAAGUAUUUUUAAGCAUGUGCUUAAUUUGAAGUUUUAGUGCCUAUUCUAAGCAAUAAGAAAAACCUUAGAUCCUGGCCAGGUUUUAUUUCCCAAGAUAUGGAGCAGCAUGUGGAAAUCGUGAAAAAUAAAACAAGCUAUGAAAGGACUGAUGUCAGGAAGAACUCUUCUUCCCAUUCCUACAGUUGUAGCAAAGACUGACUUGCAUCAAAUAUAUGCUGAAAAUACGACUAUUGUGUGAUCUAUGCAACACGGCAAAGAAUGGCUGCUUUGGCAGAUUUAAGUCAUGGAUAAAAGAUCCUAAUUUUAGGUCAGUGCUACAUGCCAUUGAAUCAAUGAUUAAGUGAUCGCAUCAGAUUCAUGACACAGAAUAAGAAUUCUACACAAUCUCCUCUACAUGAUCUUUAGCCAGACCCCCAAACUGAACUUCUGGAAGGCAAGAAAAGAUGAUCUUUUAUAUGUAAAUAAGCAAGAAAGCUUCAUUAACAUUUUGGAAUUUCAAAAUCUGGAAAAGCUGGAGUUUGGUGAAAUCAGGGGAAACUUUUGA